GGAUUGCAAGAAUACUGUUGUAUCAGAGAGAGGUUUCGCCGCUGCUGAGACCACAUGUUUUAGGUUCAGAUGGCUGUGGAUGUCAAAUUUGUCCAGGACACACUGAAAGGCGACGGAGUCACAGAAAUAAGGAUGAAAUUUAUAAGGCGGAUUGAAGACAAUCUCCCUGUAGGAGAAGAGUGAGUCCCAGAGCAGCCCUCUAUCUCCUGAACUGGAAAGGAUGAGCCAGUACCCAACUGACUGGUUAAGAUGAUGAUCUACUUUAUUCCCUUAGGAAGCAGCUGUUUGAAUUGUUCUCUGUUAUUUCCACAGAUUUGUAUUAAAGACCUUUGUAAGAUGUAGGACACUUUUCAUACUCAUCAGAGACACAUGUACUCAUUUCUAUUUUCCAUAUUUGGCUCCAUGCAAAUGUACAGGAUAUUAAAACCUUGCAGUUUUGAAAGCGGUUUUCAGAACUGGAUCCCAGCUGAAGGUGAUCCUCUUGUCUAGCAACAUAUGAAAAGCAUCAGCGUUGCUUCUUGCCCUUUCCUGAUCAUAGGAAUUAGGGGCCAGAACCCAAAUAUAUAUCGUUUCGGAGUAGAUAGACAUUCCUUAAUAGUGAAAAAAAUGCAGCAUAUGCAAGCUGAAGUUGUUACUGGAUCAUGUUCUUGUUUGUUGUUAAGAAAACCAUAUGCUUUAUAAAGGUAAACAUCUAUCACAAAAGAAGAGUGCUGCUUAUUAAAUGGUCACUAUAUGAAUAAUUUUCUUUGGUCAUAUCCCAGUUAGAUGCGUGAAUUUGUUGAAGAGAGAGGAUUGCCAUGAUGGUACUUUGGAGUCCUGACUAGUUAAAGAGUUGGGCAAAGUAGUAUAGCACACUGGGGAUGCACUGUUCAUGGUUUCUCUGUUUAACUAGUGUCAGAGAAAGCUCUCUGUCCAUAAUAAUCUGAGGAUAUUUUGCUUGCAGCGGCUUUGAUUUAUAUAAUUCUGGACGAGAGUUAAAUACAAGCAAGUGUUCUGAUAGAUUCAGGCAACUAGGGCUUCUGAGUUGUUGGCUCAUAUGCCAAGAGGAUACCACUAAGCUGUAUGCUGUCCUGAGAGGCAUGGUAAGGGGGGAAAAUACUGUGUUAGUCAGGCUUGUGUGAUUGUAUCAGUGUGCUAAGGCUUUGUGUAUUGAAUCAAUGCAUGGAUAUUGGAGAACCCUCUAGACUUUUUAAACAGGGAAAAUGAAUAUUGGAAUGCACUCAUGAAGUAAGUAUGAGGCUCAGAUUUCAUUCCACUGACUAUGUAUAGAUAGAAGAUCCCAUCUGUGUAUAUCAUAAAGCCUAAACCUCUCAUUAAGCAAUAUAAUUACUAUUAAACCUAGCAGAUAAUUCUCUGUGAAAAUGUAGAGGUUUUGUUCAGCUGAUGUAUACUGAACUCGUUUCUUAGAAAUUUCCACCUUCCUUCAAGUGACACAAUUAGUAAAAGCUACACUCUUUUGGAGUAACGGCAUGUCUUAGGUCCAAGCUAACACCUGUGCUCAGCAUAAUGCUGAAUUUGGAACCAUCAGAAAUCAAGUAGAAGAGUGUAAAGAAUAGAUUUUAGAUGUAGACACACCAAAUGCCUGGUGUAAGAGCUGCAGGCCAUUGCCAUAAUUAGGCUGAGCCUCAAGUUGGAGGAAGGUACUGUAGACCUGUGUGUGUUGUGCAGUACCAAUACAGCUUACUUGACAUACGUAAGAAUGGAAUUUGAAUUGUCUUUGAGGCCUUUUCUCAAUAGCAUGUUAAUGACACUUGCUUAGUUAUUUUUAUGGUUCUUCCCACCUGAAUUUGGCUCCAGAUGGGUAAGGUAAAUCCUAUUCUGCCCUGGACUUCACUUUCAGCAUGACUGUGGAGUUAGUAGCAAAGAAAGCAGAGGCGUGGAAUUGCUCUGCAUUGCAAGAGCACUUAUCAAAAGCUGGCGCAUCUCAUGUCACAGUUCUAUCUUCUUCAAUGAAAAUUCAGCAUUCCUGUUCCCAAAGACAUCAUUCCUUUGUUUGGGGGAAGGAUCCAGUGUCCCCAAAUAUCUUUUUUUAACGUUGUUUCCUGUAUGAUAUUUCAACAGAUGCACUGAGUGAUAACAGAUGGGUGAACGGGUAUAAUUUAAAUGUUUUUGUCAUUCAUGUAUGUUGCAUUUGUAAAGCUUUUGAAGGCAACAUUUUGGAACUUACAUUAAAGAUACUGUAACUGAC